AAAGAUUACAACUCACUUUGUUGCUAUACUCACUUUAUUACAGUGGUCUGGAACCUAACUUGCAAUAUCUCCAAGUUGGCAGGUUUUAAAGCACAUGUGGCUUAUUCUCAACACAUUCUGGAAAUCAGCAAUGACUUCUGAAAGUCCACCUCUUCUGUACACCAGUUCUCCAACAGGGUCACAACCAUUGCUCCAAAAACUCCAUUGUAGGGGUUGAAAUCCAUCUGUCAUUUAUAAGGAUGUUUGACACUCUCAGAUCAAAAAGCAGAGAGUGGAAAUGAAAAAUGGAAAAAGAAUGGACUACGUACUAGUCUAACCCAAACUGGAUGAUUGGCCUUGAAUAAAGAAGAGUUGACCUGCUGGAUCAUUUUACCCACCUGAGCACAACACACAGCGGAGUAAGAGCUCUAUAAGAUGUUGCUCUCUGACUUGCUAAUGAAGAGGUAAUAUAUUAAAUAUAGAAUUUCAGAUUAGGAAGCGACAGUCUGCUCCAGUUUUGGACAGCUUUUAAUUGUUGUUUAUACCAUGUCAAAAUGUGCUUGCUUUUUUAACUUAAAUUCAUCUAUUCAGAUUCUGGCCUAGGAAGGAAACAGAGAAAAUACAUGUCAUUUAUUUUCAAAAUGACACCCCCAGAGCUAAUUGAGGAUGGCUUUACUUCUUCAGGAUGACUAUCACAGGCUCCUACAAACAGUAUUUGCAGUUUCUCAUCACCCUUUUCAUAUUUCUCUGGACAUGCUCCAAUUUGUCCAUAUCCCUCUUAAAAUAGGCCCAAUGACUGAACACAUUGCCAGCUUAGAGUAAUAGGGAAGUAUUACUUGUCUUGUUCUAAUCAUCAUAUAUGUAUCAAUACAGCCU